rnacentral:rRNA from 1 species
GAGGAAUAUUGGUCAAUGGCCUAACGGCUGAACCAGCAACUUGCAGGAAUGAGAGUUAAUAUAAUAACAAUUAUUAACUUGCUUGACUAGGUCUUAUAAAGUUCUGGAUAAAGCUGAUAAUGACAACUUUAUAUCCAUAGUUCUCGACUAAAUCUUGUGCCAGCAGUCGCGGUAAGACAAGGGAGACGAGUGUUAUUCAUCUUGAACAGGUAUAUUGGGUACCUAGACUGUGUGGGAUGGCUUUUAUAGUACCCCCUACACUAGAGUUUAAUAUGUGAGAGGAAGAUGUCAGAAUUAUUAGAGUAGAGAUGAAAUCCUUUAAUACUAAUAGGACUGAUAAUGGCGAAGGCAAACCUCUAUGUAUAUGUACUUAAAAAAUAAUCUAUUUUUCAUAAAACAGUUAAUCUAUAAAAGUUAAAUAGACAGGAAGAAAGAAAAUAUACAGUUUUAUUAUUGUAUAUGCCUGAGUAAGAAUAUAUGCCUGAGUAAGAAUAUAUAUUAAAAUAAAAGUACUAAACUGACGUUGAGGGACGAAGGCUCAGAGAGUGAAGAGGAUUAGAUACCCCCGUAGCCUGGGCAGACAAUGAUGAGUGCCAUAGGUUGGCUUUAAGUUGAACUAUAAAUGAAAGUGGAAGCACUCCACCUCAAGAGUAAUGUGGCAACGCAGGAACUGAAAUCAUUAGACCGUUUCUGAAACCAGUAGUGAAGUAUGUUAUUUAAUUCGAUGAUCCGCGAAUAACCUUACCACAAUUUGAAUGUUCUAAUUUAGAUAGUUACUUUAAAAUAUAAUUAAUGUAAUUUUUUUAAAUUACAUUAAUAAAAUAUAUUAUGUAAUUAUACCACACAGAUCACAUGCGUUGCAUGGCUGUCUUCAGUUAAUGUCGUGAGAUUUGGUUAGGUCCAUUAAAUUAACGUAAACCCUUGCUUUAUUUAAUGUAAUAAGGCAGCUCUCCGCUUACAACUGGAUAUGACAACAGGGACUAAGACAAGUCAUCAUGGCCUUAAUAUUGUGGGCUAUAGACGUGCCACAUGUGCCUUUACAAAGGGAUGCAAUAAUGCGAAUUG